rnacentral:rRNA from 1 species
AACGAACGCUGGCGGCAUGCCUAACACAUGCAAGUCGAACGAUAACUUCGGGGCUAGUGGCGCACGGGUGCGUAACGCGUGGGAACCUGCCCUUAAGCUCGGCAUAACUCAGAGAAAUUUGAGCUAAACCCGGAUAAUGUCUUCGGACGAAAGAGUUAUGGCUUUUGGAUGGGCCCGCGUUGGAUUAGCUAGUUGGUGGGGUAAAGGCCUACCAAGGCGACGGUCCAUAGCUGGGCUGAGAGGAUGAUCAGCCACACUGGGACUGAGACACGGCCCAGACUCCUACGGGAGGCAGCAGUGGGGAAUAUUGGACAAUAGGCGAAAGCCGGAUCCAGCAGUGCCGCGUGAGUGAUGAAGGCCUGAGGGUUGUAAAGCUCUUUUACCCGGGAUGAUAAUGACAGUACCGGGAGAAUAAGCCCCGGCUAACUCCGUG